rnacentral:rRNA from 1 species
UACAGAGGUCUCAAGCGUUGUUCGGAUUCAUUGGGCGUAAAGGGUGCGUAGGCGGUGCGGUAAGUCGGGUGUGAAAUCUCGGGGCUUAACUCCGAAACUGCAUUCGAUACUGCCGUGCUUGAGGACUGGAGAGGAGACUGGAAUUUACGGUGUAGCGGUGAAAUGCGUAGAUAUCGUAAGGAAGACCAGUGGCGAAGGCGGGUCUCUGGACAGUUCCUGACGCUGAGGCACGAAGGCCAGGGGAGCAAACGGG